CAUGUGCGUGUGCAUGUGCAUGUGCGUGUGCAUGUGGCAUGUGCGUGCACAUGCAUGCGUGUGCAUGCACAUGCA
rnacentral:precursor_RNA from 1 species